ensembl:lncRNA
CGUGAGACCUCAGAACGACGCUAACAGCCCUGACACGUGGCUAACGGAUUCACUGUUAUGCAUAUGUGUCAAUAAAACAAAGUUAAUCCUAAAUUCAGUCAUGAGAAAAGAUAAAACGAAAGAAAGAAACAUUUGGAAGCAUUUCAUAAAUGCAGGCCUCGAUCAAUAUGGACCAAGAUGACGAUAAAGCCCCCGACUGACCUAAGGCUGCUAGCAUGCAUCGAAUUCAGACAGAUGAAACUGUAUCCAUAGAGCUGACCUCUCAGAUUGUUGCUGUGAACGGCCUGGCCUCCGGUGAUCCCAUCUUCCCAUAACAUGGAUAACAAGUGAUCUGCAAACACUAGAUUCCAUCCCGACGUUCCUCUCUUGGAUGUGUGACAACCACGAAGGCGACGACGCAGAAGGCAGUAGGCCCCUCGGAGGAUAGUUGCAAGGUUGAGGAAAGACUACAGGAAGAGCAGAAUGGGUUUGACAUAACUUUACUUUAGUGCGCUGCGGGCCCUCUCCCCUCCCUGUAGUUUAAUGUUGUAUUCCACUGGGUCCCGGAAGGAAGCAGCCCAGUAAAUCCCCACUGCUCGACUUAAAAAGGAAAUGGCAUCUGAAGACAGGUGAAAAACUGAAAGAUAAAUACAACCAGGCCCCCCCUCGCCUUCCCGUCCAGAGAGAGAUCCCCGAGCCACACGAUGUAACAGUGCAUGCCUGGGGUAUAAAUAUAUCAAGGAAACGGACUACAAUGAAUAAAUAAUAUCCAACUCUCUUUUGCAAAUAUAAUGACAUUUUUAACAAAGGGCUUAUGCCGUCAUGGAAACCUGAAUUAUUCACACAUGAGAUAGGGGGUGUAUCUUUUUUUUGGAGCCAAUUUGACAAUGAGAAAUUAAACUGAUGGGGGGAGUGAGGGAGGCUGAGGGAGGGGAGAAGGGGGGGGGGUUGUGAGUUAAAGGCUUUAAAAACCCACACAGGAGAAACUCCAACGGGGAGUUGGUGAAUUAGGAAGUCUUCACUUAGUGGGCUGUAAUGAACUGAGCCGAUGUGCACCUCCGUGCGGUGCAGUUUGACAUUUUCCCUCUUUUUUUUUUUAUUGGAG